GAGGAGGGCAAAAACCCUGAAACCCUGCUUCUUUCUGGUGACUUCUCAAUUGUGCUUAAACAAGAAACAUUGUAGUUAAAAAUGCACUGGCUGUUUGGUCAGUGAUACUCUUAUGUUCACUGAAUAGGCAAUGUAUUUCCAGGAAUCUCCGUUGGACUCCUGUGGGACUUAAAACUUGUCUCACUAUGAACAGAAACAUGUACUGCAUGAACCUUUGUACUUUUUCUGACUUGCUCCUCCUAAGGGGGGGGGUUGCUUUUCACUGCUUUCUAUCCAUUGAAGACAUUGAUUUGUUCUUUUUAAAAAGUGGGAACAAAAUAACAAAAACUUCAUUAUUUACUUUUAUGCUUAAAAGUGUUUGUCUUUAGUGACCAUUGACAAAUGAAACGCCAUCUGACCUUCAAAAUAAAAUCCAUACUUUCACAGAUCCUGUGCUGAGCGGUAGGAACCCAUCCAGAGGGCUGGCGAAGGUAGCCGGGGACCUGAGGCGGGGCCGGCAGCGCCGUGCACCUGCUGCCCUGGCUCUCCAGCACCUGUCACCCAGCUCCAGUCAGCCAGCAUUGUUCCCGUGGGGCCUGGGGGCUCUGGGGAGGCUCUCCACACCACCAGAAGCCCCUGGGAUGGUCACAAGAUGGAAGCUGCCGAGAUUUGCGAUCCCUGACUUCAGUGACACCUUGUGCCCUCCCAGCCCUGUCUGCGGACACUACCACAGUAGUGGGUGUGCUGGAGCUGGCGAGGCAGGUAGAUGAGCGCCCGGAAGUUGUGGAGCUCUCGCCCCACUCUUGGCACCUGUCUGUCUGGCCUCCUGACCCCUCCCCAUCGCACACACAGGCAUACCCAUGUCUCAGCUCCAAGGAUGAAUCUUGGUUGAACACAAAAAGGAUGGAGAGAGCACCACUCAAUCUCUGAGACUGAAGAUUGAGUCACCCUUGACAUCCGUUUGAAUCAGGACCCAUGCCCCAUCCACGUCCACAGGCACCUGGUGUCGGAGAAGGAGGCAUUGACAGAAUAACGUGUGCGUGGAUGGCUGUGGGCUUCCGUUUGCCUCCUCCGCCUACUUUCUUAUCUUACCAGCCGGCCCACUCCCACCACCUCUUGCCAGAGGCCCUUUAGACAGAACUCCUGAAUUCCUGCUUAGCUCUUCAAUCUGAUGCCAUGUCCUGCAAUGUAGUUUUUGAAUCUUUUACUUUGUCAUAGGUUUAGAUGAUCAUAGAAAAGUUGCCAUGGAACUUUACAUCAGAAACCAGGGAGGUACUGUAUGGUGACUAACAUAAUAUAAUAAAAAAAUAUUAUUAUUAAAAAAAAAGAAAGAA
rnacentral:lncRNA from 1 species